AUUGAACGCUGGCGGCAGGCCUAACACAUGCAAGUCGAGCGGAUGAAGAAAGCUUGCUUUUCGAUUCAGCGGCGGACGGGUGAGUAAUGCCUAGGAAUCUGCCUGUUAGUGGGGGAUAACUCGGGGAAACUCGGGCUAAUACCGCAUACGUCCUACGGGAGAAAGUGAGGGAUCUUCGGACCUCACGCUAACAGAUGAGCCUAGGUCGGAUUAGCUAGUAGGUGAGGUAAUGGCUCACCUAGGCGACGAUCCGUAACUGGUCUGAGAGGAUGAUCAGUCACACUGGAACUGAGACACGGUCCAGACUCCUACGGGAGGCAGCAGUGGGGAAUAUUGGACAAUGGGCGAAAGCCUGAUCCAGCCAUGCCGCGUGUGUGAAGAAGGUCUUCGGAUUGUAAAGCACUUUAAGUUGGGAGGAAGGGUAUUCACCUAAUACGUGGGUACUUUGACGUUACCAACAGAAUAAGCACCGGCUAACUCUGUGCCAGCCGCCGCGGUAAAAC
rnacentral:rRNA from 1 species